ACACUGUAAAUAGAGUGGUGAUCAAUAAGAAAUGUGUUUCAGUAACAGAUUACAGGUCAAGAAAUAUUUCUAGAUCCUUUCACUGCCUUCUGGGAGCAGAGAGCAAGAGACUGAAAGAGCUAUGCAUCAAGUAUUAAGACCUAAGAGGAUAUCACUGCCGUCAGAACCAAUAACAGAAGAUCUGAAAGGGCCACUUACAGGAAGAAAAGAUCCUGCCAGAGCUUUUGGUUUCCACUGUGAUUUCUGAGACUUUGGAAAAUGAAAGAAGUUUCCAUUCCCCUAAACCUGUGGUCACCCAGUGUUCCAGCAGAGACUCACAUGACUGAGACUAACCCAAGUCGCGAGAUUCACGCACAACCAAACUCCCCUGCAAGUCACCAGGAUCCUUUAGAAGCUACAAAACCAGGUUGGAGGUCAUGAAGGAUGGGAGCCUAGCCUGCCACGGUAUCCAAUAAAGCUGGUUUUCAGUCUUUG
rnacentral:lncRNA from 1 species